UGCACAAUGGGCGCAAGCCUGAUGCAGCCAUGCCGCGUGUGUGAAGAAAGGUCUUCCGGAUUGUAAAAGCACUUUUAAGCUUGGGAGGAAAGGGACUCGUUACUCUAAAUACCGUGGAGGUGUAUUGAACGUUACCUCGGACCAAGAAAAAAGCACCCGGUUCGCCCCCCC
rnacentral:rRNA from 4 species